rnacentral:sRNA from 1 species
CUCCUUUCCUCCUUCACGGAUCUGUGCCCAGCGAUCCUCUGCCGCCCCCGGUGGUCAGGGUCGAUUGCUGCGGCAGUUCGGUGAACCAAGGAGCCAUCUACUCUCCGUGAUGUCAAUUUCCACCCGACAGGUCCAAGAUCGACCGAACUCUGGGGAGCCUCGUUCGCUGUAAAAGGCUUGAGCGUGGUGAGCCGGAUGAUUUAGGAGACGCCAUAUUCCAAGCCGUUCGCCGAGACCGUCGGUCUAUGGGGCUGGGGGAAACCAUGGCUUGCCUACAUUU